GUGUCUGGUGGGUAGUUUGACUGGGGCGGUCUCCUCCUAAAGAGUAACGGAGGAGCACGAAGGUUGGCUAAUCCUGGUCGGACAUCAGGAGGUUAGUGCAAUGGCAUAAGCCAGCUUGACUGCGAGCGUGACGGCGCGAGCAGGUGCGAAAGCAGGUCAUAGUGAUCCGGUGGUUCUGAAUGGAAGGGCCAUCGCUCAACGGAUAAAAGGUACUCCGGGGAUAACAGGCUGAUACCGCCCAAGAGUUCAUAUCGACGGCGGUGUUUGGCACCUCGAUGUCGGCUCAUCACAUCCUGGGGCUGAAGUAGGUCCCAAGGGUAUGGCUGUUCGCCAUUUAAAGUGGUACGCGAGCUGGGUUUAGAACGUCGUGAGACAGUUCGGUCCCUAUCUGCCGUGGGCGCUGGAGAACUGAGGGGGGCUGCUCCUAGUACGAGAGGACCGGAGUGGACGCAUCACUGG
rnacentral:rRNA from 1 species